rnacentral:rRNA from 1 species
GAUGAACGCUGGCGGCGUGCCUAAUACAUGCAAGUCGAGCGACCGCACGAGAAGAUCUUUCCUUUGCCGUUAGCGACUGACGGAUGAGUAAGACAUAGAUCACAAUCUACUAAUUCUUGGGUAAUUACGGGGAGACGCAGCCACUAAUGGCUCAUAUAACCUACCGGUUGAAUCAAUAGUGCAUGAGGGCUUGGCUGUCUCAAAUAGCUGGUUCCGCGUCGCAUUAGUUAGUUGGUAAGGUAACGGCUUACCAAGGCGACGAUGCGUAGCCGACCUGAGAGGGUGAUCGGCCACACUGGAACUGAGACACGGUCCAGACUCCUACGGGAGGCAGCAGUAGGGAAUCUUCCGCAAUGGGCGAAAGCUUGACGGAGCAACGCCGCGUGAGUGAUGAAGGUCUUCGGAUCGUAAAGCUCUUUUAUUAGGGAAGAACAAAUGUGUAAGAAACUAUGCACGUCUUGACGGUACCUAAUCAGAAAGCCACGGCUAACUACGUG